GCGCUCCGAAGGCGAGGCCGCUGUCGCUGUAGAUGCCCUGGAGUCGACGUCGGUAGCUGCUGCCGGAGCGGGUUUCAAAACCCGGAGGCGGACUUCAUCCAGGGAGGACUGCAUGUUGGUGGGAGCGGCGAGGACCGGGUCUUCGUGCUGAUGGUCGUAUGUCUGGAGUCUUGGUCUUUGAGAAGCGCUGUUGGCGCUAACGGAGCAGUGUUGUUAGCGUUAGCAGCAGCGGGGCGACAGCACUUCUUCUGUCAACAACUUUCUCGGACGAUGAAGCGACGGGAGGAAGAUGACAGCUCUCUUCAUCUCUCUCCUCCGUCGCUCCCUCGUCGUCUUGGGUGUCGAGGUCGCAAACCUUCCUCGAAAUGGAUCCGUCGUCCAGCUCGAGAUGAAACGUGACGCACGCGGAUAUGCAGUUGACGAGAGACGAGGACGAGCGGCGGACCAACACAGACGCACCAACAACCGGAAGUGACACACUACGUCAGCGCAGCACAGACGCACCAACAACCGGAAGUGACACACUACGUCAGCGCAGCACGUCCCCUGUGACGUGACUUGAUGCGCUCGCUUCAUGUUGUAAAAGAAGCCUACGACCAACACCGCGAAUCACUUGUGUUUUAAAUGGGGGCCUUGUAAUAUUCUGAUUCACGGGCUUCUCCAAACCUUUUGGGAAUAAAGCGACGUUUUGUAAAAA